GACGAACGCUGGCGGCGUGCCUAAUACAUGCAAGUCGAACGCUUCUUUCCUCCCGAGUGCUUGCACUGAAUUGGAAAGAGGAGUGGCGGACGGGUGAGUAACACGUGGGUAACCUACCCAUCAGAGGGGGAUAACACUUGGAAACAGGUGCUAAUACCGCAUAACAGUUUAUGCCGCAUGGCAUAAGAGUGAAAGGCGCUUUCGGGUGUCGCUGAUGGAUGGACCCGCGGUGCAUUAGCUAGUUGGUGAGGUAACGGCUCACCAAGGCCACGAUGCAUAGCCGACCUGAGAGGGUGAUCGGCCACACUGGGACUGAGACACGGCCCAGACUCCUACGGGAGGCAGCAGUAGGGAAUCUUCGGCAAUGGACGAAAGUCUGACCGAGCAACGCCGCGUGAGUGAAGAAGGUUUUCGGAUCGUAAAACUCUGUUGUUAGAGAAGAACAAGGACGUUAGUAACUGAACGUCCCCUGACGGUAUCUAACCAGAAAGCCACGGCUAACUACGUG
rnacentral:rRNA from 1 species